rnacentral:rRNA from 1 species
GCUUAGUCGUAAACUUAAAUAGUCCUAGAACAAGACUAUUCGCCAGAGUACUAUCGGCAACAGCCCAAAACUCAAAGGACUUGGCGGUGCUUCAUAUCCUUCUAGAGGAGCCUGUUCUGUAAACGAUAAACCACGAUUAACCUCACCAAUCCUUGCUACUUCAGUCUAUAUACCGCCAUCUUCAGCAAACCCUAAAAAAGGAAUGAAAGUAAGCACAACUAUUGCACGUAAAAACGUUAGGUCAAGGUGUAACCUAUGGAUUGGGAAGAAAUGGGCUACAUUUUCUAUAAUAAGAACACCCCUUAAACUUACACGAAAGUUUUUAUGAAAUCUAAAAACUAAAGGAGGAUUUAGCAGUAAAUUAAGAAUAGAAUGCUUAAUUGAAUAAGGCCAUGAAGCACGC